UACGGAGGGUGCAAGCGUUACCCGGAAUCACUGGGCGUAAAGGGCGUGUAGGCGGGGUGUUAAGUCUGGCUUUAAAGACCGGGGGCUCAACCUCGGGGAUGGGCUGGAUACUGGCACUCUAGACCUCUGGAGAGGUACUCGGAAGUUUCUGGUGUAGCGGUGGAAUGCGUAGAUACCAGAAGGAACACCGAUGGCGAAGGCAGAGUACUGGACAGAAGGUGACGCUGAGGCGCGAAAGUGUGGGGAGCGAACCGG
rnacentral:rRNA from 1 species